rnacentral:rRNA from 1 species
CCAAUCCCGACACGGGGAGGUAGUGACAAGAAAUACUGAUACAGGGUCCUAUCGGAUCUUGUAAUUGGAAUGAGUACAAUUUAAACCCAUUAACGAGGAACAACUAGAGGGCAAGUCUGGUGCCAGCAGCCGCGGUAAUUCCAGCUCUAGUAGCAUACAUUAAAAUUGUUGCAGUUAAAACGCCCGUAGUUGAAGUUUGGAUUUAAUCGCCCGGUCCGCCUCACUGCGAGAACUGGCUGCGAUCGAGUCUUUCUUCUUGGUAAACUGCAUAUCCUUUAUUGGGUGUGUUAGUGCACCAGGACUUUUACUUUGAAAAAAUUAGAGUGUUCAAAGCAGGCUUUUGCUCGGAUACCUUAGCAUGGAAUAAUAAAAUAUGACGAGUGGUUGUAUUUGUUGGUUUUCACGACUACCGUAAUGAUUGAUAGGGAUGGUCGGGGGCAUC